GGUCUUCCAGGAGCGCGCUUGAGCGGACGCUGCCUACCGGUGGCCGGGCGGGAUGUAACCCGCUGCUGAGCUGGCAGCUCUGUGUCGCUAGGCUUCGGCCCGGCCGCCGCCGCACAUAAGCUGCGAGGAGGAGCUUUACGACUUCCCGGUCUUCGGGGCCGGGCGCAGCAAGGGCCAGACUCUGCGCUAGCAGGCGCUGCGCGCCAACCGGCCGGCACCUGUCGCAGAAGGUGCAACCGAUCGCACUGUCGCGCCGAAGCUCCUCAAUGGCCAGCGCCAGCUGCAGCCCCGGCCGCCCACUCGCCUCACCUGAGCCUGGGAGCUUGAAAAAUCACAUUUGAGAAGAGGAUUGGAUCCUAGCCAUAACAUAAAUAUAAGGGUGGAACCAAAGUUUUAAUCAAAGAAGGUGGUGUUCAGUUGCUGCUUACAAUAGUUGAUACCCCAGGAUUUGGAGAUGCAGUGGAUAACAGUAAUUGCUGGCAGCCUGUUAUCAAUUACAUUGAUAUUAAAUUUGAGGACUACCUAAAUGCAGAAUCGCGAGUGAACAGAUGUCAGAUGCCUGGUAACAGGGUGCAGUGUUGUUUAUACUUCAUUGCUCCUUCAGGACAUGGACCAUUACAUAACUGAAGACUCCCACCUUCAGGCAGGAUUGGGUAGUACGUGUUUGUAACUACCUGGCAUUGCCUUUUGUUGAGGAAGGGUAGAUGUCUACCCAAAUGGAAUAUUGAGUAUCAGAGACUUCAAAUGAUAACUUUUGUUUGUUUGGAGAAAAUCUUGAGGACGUGAUCACUGUACAAAAGCAUGGCAAAAUGAGGAAACCACUGACAGGUGAAGAAUUUGCACAAUGGAAAACCACCUUGACCAUCUCAUGACUUUAUACAGGAAUCGGAGACAUCCAAGGCCAUUCCAUUUCUAAAUCACACUUAUCCCUCAAUCAAGUCAGUGACUGGAUCAUCUCCUAAGGUUUCACCUGCUUUGCAUCAGUGAGUUGGACUAUGGAUCAGGUACUGUGCUCAGCAUCAGAAAAUGGGAUGACAAUGAACAGAGUAACAGGACUAUAUUUCUGAAAAAGGAUGAACUUACUGGAAACAGGAUUGCGUGCCUGAAAUAUAUCCAAAUGGAUAUAAAUGUCAACUCAGUUCUGGGCUGGAGAUAUAGAUUUGGAAUGCACCAACAAUGCAGAUGGUAAUCCUGGCAUGCGAGUAGGUGAGAUCAUCCAGGGAGAUGGCCUAUAAUGAGAGCCUACAACAUGUCAGGGCUCAAGCACCUCUUACUGCCUCCUCACUCUGGAACCAAAUGCCUUACUGUUCCUAGGAGAAUGUUAACAGUCCAGACCUUUUUCACUACAUCAACCACGGAUGAUUGGCAUAUAAAAUCCUACUUAACCUUUACAUAACUGCAAUACCAGGAAACAAAUAUGUCAAUAAAAGGAAACAUCAUUCAA
rnacentral:lncRNA from 1 species